rnacentral:lncRNA from 1 species
AGGGGCAGUUUUUAAACUGAAAAGUCGCAUUUUUCAAUUACUUUCUUACACUGUGCACAUCCGAGAGAAAGAGAAAGAGAGGAAACUUGGCAAUUUUGAAAGGGGAAGUCUCAGGUGUCAAACUUUCAUUAUUUAGGUGGAUCAAAUCAAGGUAAAUUCAUGAAUUUCUUACUUUGAAGUGUUUAGAUUUAGGAAUUUCAUCAUAGAAACCUAG